ACACGGGGGGAGCAAGCGUUGUUCGGAAUCACUGGGCGUAAAGGGCGUGUAGGCGGUCAGGUAAGUGGAAUGUGAAAUGCCCCGGCUCACCCGGGGACCGGCAUCCCAAACUGCCUGGCUUGAGUAUGGGAGAGGAUGGAGGAAUUCCUGGUGUAGCGGUGAAAUGCGUAGAUAUCAGGAGGAACACCGGUGGCGAAGGCGUCCAUCUGGCCCAAUACUGACGCUGAGGCGCGAAAGCUAGGGGAGC
rnacentral:rRNA from 1 species